GUUGCUUGGGGAUGCGCUCCAACCCCUGUGACAUACCACUUGUUGCCUCGGCGGAUCAGCCCGCUCCCGGUAAAACGGGACGGCCCGCCAGAGGACCCCUAAACUCUGUUUCUAUAUGUAACUUCUGAGUAAAACCAUAAAUAAAUCAAAACUUUCAACAACGGAUCUCUUGGUUCUGGCAUCGAUGAAGAACGCAGCAAAAUGCGAUAAGUAAUGUGAAUUGCAGAAUUCAGUGAAUCAUCGAAUCUUUGAACGCACAUUGCGCCCGCCAGUAUUCUGGCGGGCAUGCCUGUUCGAGCGUCAUUUCAACCCUCAAGCACAGCUUGGUGUUGGGACUCGCGUUAAUUCGCGUUCCUCAAAUUGAUUGGCGGUCACGUCGAGCUUCCAUAGCGUAGUAGUAAAACCCUCGUUACUGGUAAUCGUCGCGGCCACGCCGUUAAACCCCAACUUCUGAAUGUUGACCUCGGAUCAGGUAGGAAUACCCGCUGAACUUAAGCAUAUCAUAGCUCGGGAAAGGAAGC
rnacentral:rRNA from 1 species